rnacentral:lncRNA from 1 species
AUCUUCAUCAUAUUCUUCUUUUCUCUUAAAUUCUUUAUUUUUCUUAUAGAAAAAAAUAUUUUUUUAUAUUUUAUUAUUAUUAUUAUUAUUUUAUUUAUUUUUUAUAUUUUUUUUCUUGGCUCCGCUCUUAUCCGCGCUCGCUCCAAGUCCUUCUUCUCCGGUGCUGGUGUUGGUGUCUGCGUCGGCGAAGGUGGAGUAAGAGGACGCGACGCUAUUUUCGUUACCGUCGUGAAGGAUCGCGAAGGCGGUGGAAGGGGAGUUGAAGAGAAAAGAAAAAGAACGAGAGAAAAAAAAGGAGAGAAAGAGGAUGUGACGUUACCCUCUUUACUAUCGUAAAAAGUCGGGAAGACGAUGAAGGAGGGUUGGAGAGAAAAAAAAAGAAGAGAGUGGCAGCACGGCCUCUGCCUAGUUGGAGGUAAGGAAGGCGGGGG